rnacentral:rRNA from 1 species
GACGAACGCUGGCGGCGUGCUUAACACAUGCAAGUCGAACGGAAAGGCCCUGCUUGCAGGGUGCUCGAGUGGCGAACGGGUGAGUAACACGUGGGUGAUCUGCCCCUUAUUUUGGGAUAAGCCUGGGAAACUGGGUCUAAUACUGGAUAGGACCAUGCUGUAGGUGUUGUGGUGGAAAGAUUAGUUUCGGUAAGGGAUGAGCUCGCGGCCUAUCAGCUUGUUGGUGGGGUAAUGGCCUACCAAGGCGUCGACGGGUAGCCGGCCUGAGAGGGUGGACGGCCACAUUGGGACUGAGAUGCGGCCCAGACUCCUGCGGGAGGCGGCAGUGGGGAAUAUUGCACAAUGGGCGCAAGCCUGAUGCAGCGACGCCGCGUGGGGGAUGACGGCCUUCGGGUUGGAAACACCUUUCAGCCAUGACGAAGCCCUUGUGGUGACGGUAGUGGUAGAAGAAGCACCGGCUAACUACGUG